rnacentral:ncRNA from 2 species
AGUUAACAACCACAUAACUCUUGUAUAAGCUCAUUAAUUUGGUUUGAGCGUUUCUACAGGCAACCGUAAAUUGCCCCAGGCUACAAGAGACACCGCAUGCGAA